UGGAGCAUGGCUCAGUCAGUAGAUCAUGAGACUCUUAAUCUCAGGGCCUUGGGUUUGAGCCCCACACUGGGCAAAA